UGGGGUAGGGAGCCUUUCCCCUUAAGGCUGCCAAGAUGAACAUUGUCCAGCCUGGGACAACAGCAGACAUAGAAGCUCCUGAUUUGGCAGUUCACAAUUUAUCCCUGCUGAGAGAUAUCCUCCUGUGCUUUUCAAGGAAGCACAGAAAAUGCCAACAUUGGCACUGGCAGUGGGUUCUGGUAUCCAGAAAGGGAAACUGCAGCUUGUUCUUCAAGGAGGAAAUAAUGGUGCAGCUCAUUGAACUUAAAAGCAUCCAAAACUUUAUAGAAGAGGACUGAAACUACAGAUUUUAUAGGAACGACAAAGAGCCUCAAGCUUUGCAGAAAGAAAAAGCAGUAACGAUGUGACCUACCUAAGAAGAACGAAGGAAAAAUGAUAUAUUUAGUCUGUACAAUGGAGAAACUUUAAAAUAAUGAAGAUGAACAAAAACAGUUUCAUUAAUGUCUGGUAUUCUACAGAAAACUAGCCACCAGGAGAAGAUUUUUUUCCCUUUAUAAUAAAUGUAAAACUUGCCAAGACUGAA